GACGAACGCUGGCGGCGUGCUUAACACAUGCAAGUCGAACGGAAAGGCCCUCACCUUGGUGGGGGUGCUCGAGUGGCGAACGGGUGAGUAACACGUGGGUGAUCUGCCCUGUACUUCGGGAUAAGCUUGGGAAACUGGGUCUAAUACCGGAUAGGACCAUGGUUUAGUGUCUCAUGGUGGAAAAAUUAUUGUUUUGGUGCAGGAUGAGCUCGCGGCCUAUCAGCUUGUUGGUGGGGUAAUGGCCUACCAAGGCGUCGACGGGUAGCCGGCCUGAGAGGGUGGACGGCCACAUUGGGACUGAGAUACGGCCCAGACUCCUACGGGAGGCAGCAGUGGGGAAUAUUGCACAAUGGGCGCAAGCCUGAUGCAGCGACGCCGCGUGGGGGAUGACGGCCUUCGGGUUGUAAACUCCUUUCGUUAGGGACGAAGCCACACUUUUUUUGGGUGUGGUGACGGUACCUUUGUUAAGAAGCACCGGCUAACUACGUGCCAGCAGCCGCGGUAAUACGUAGGGUGCGAGCGUUGUCCGGAAUUACUGGGCGUAAAGAGCUCGUAGGUGGUUUGUUGCGUCGUCUGUGAAAUUCCGGGGCUUAACUUCGGGGUGGCAGGCGAUACGGGCAUAACUAGAGUGCUGUAGGGGAGACUGGAAUUCCUGGUGUAGCGGUGGAAUGCGCAGAUAUCAGGAGGAACACCGAUGGCGAAGGCAGGUCUCUGGGCAGUAACUGACGCUGAGGAGCGAAAGCAUGGGGAGCGAACAGGAUUAGAUACCCUGGUAGUCCAUGCUGUAAACGGUGGGCGUUAGGUGUGGGGACCGGUUUGGUUUCUGUGCCGUAGCUAACGCAUUAAGCGCCCCGCCUGGGGAGUACGGCCGCAAGGCUAAAACUCAAAGGAAUUGACGGGGGCCCGCACAAGCGGCGGAGCACGUGGAUUAAUUCGAUGCAACGCGAAGAACCUUACCUGGGUUUGACAUGCACCAGACGGUUGUAGAGAUACGUACCUCCCUUUGUGGUUGGUGUGCAGGUGGUGCAUGGUUGUCGUCAGCUCGUGUCGUGAGAUGUUGGGUUAAGUCCCGCAACGAGCGCAACCCUUGUCUUAUGUUGCCAGCACGUUUGGGUGGGGACUCAUGAGAGACUGCCGGGGUUAACUCGGAGGAAGGUGGGGAUGACGUCAAAUCAUCAUGCCCUUUAUGCCCAGGGCUUCACACAUGCUACAAUGGUUAGUACAACGCGCGGCGAGCCUGUGAGGGUGAGCGAAUCGCUGAAAGCUAAUCUCAGUUCGGAUUGGGGUCUGCAACUCGACCCCAUGAAGUCGGAGUCGCUAGUAAUCGCAGAUCAGCAAUGCUGCGGUGAAUACGUUCCCGGGCCU
rnacentral:rRNA from 1 species